GGUUCCGUAGCUCAGCAGGAUAGAGCAACCGCCUCCUAAGCGGUAGGUCGGCAGUUCGAAUCUGCCCGGGAUCA
rnacentral:tRNA from 1 species